UUUGGUAUAAUAUUCAAGUUCAGGAUGAUGACACUGGGGACACUCUUCGUUAACCUUAUCACACAAGAGUGAAUCAUAGUUUACAUGUGACAUUCAAAUGAAGAAACACAGUUGGUCUUAAGUUGCAAUGCACAGGAUGAAUCUUCAGGUGCUGUCUUUGGAACACUUCAUUAUCAACAGGUGCUGUCUCAAGGAGUACAAAGGGUCAAUCUUCAGUUCUGUUAGUGUAAACUCCUUUUUUUCUUAGCCGUGACCCGAGAGGUCGUCUCGGCUCGUUCGGGGGUCCGAAUGGCGGGGAUCUCCCUGGGGCGAUGCUCGUCUCCACCGGGGCGGUCGGGUGCGGCCUCGGACUCGGGGCGAUACAGCGACUUCCUCCGGGUGGGGACUCCUCGCCUGCGCGCCCCGAACGGGAAUCCUCGGCUUGAUACCUGCACAAAGGUCGGGUCGGCUUAACCCGACCCCUCCGACGAUCAAGUUAGAGAGAUGCGGUCGCGGUUGUUCGGGGGGUUCAGCCUGGUCUCUUCCCUCUGGCUCGAGGACGUUUAUAGGGGGAACUCGGCACUAUCGGGCGCGCCCUCCCGUCGGUCGGGGCCGUAUCUCUGAUGGCGUCCGACAUCGCCGAGGACCUUGCGUAUGGGAACGGGGAAUCGCAGGGUAUGGGCGAGCUUCAACCGCUACCUACUCCUGUCUCGUCCUACUGUGCUGGGUCAACUGAGGGACUGUGGGCACAGUGAGGCUGACGUCCGGACGCAGACCGUUGCCCUCGUUGCUCUCCCUGGGGCGCCGCGCCUGUCCACGUGCGGGGGGCGUCGCCGGGAGUGGGGUUUACCAUUUUUUACCAUAUCAAGUUCUCUUCUAAUAUC
rnacentral:lncRNA from 1 species